CCUACGGGUGGCAGCAGUAGGGAAUAUUGCUCAAUGGGGGAAACCCUGAAGCAGCAACGCCGCGUGGAGGAUGAAGGUUUUCGGAUUGUAAACUCCUUUUUUUAGAGAAGUUAAUGACGGUAUCUAACGAAUAAUCACCGGCUAACUUCGUGCCAGCAGCCGCGGUAAUACGGAGGCUGCAGGCGUUACUCGGAAUCACUGGGCGUAAAGAGGGCGUAGGCGGGUUAGCAAGUCAGAUGUGAAAUCCUACGGCUUAACCAUAGAACUGCAUUUGAAACUGUUAUUCUAGAGUAUGGGAGAGGUAGGUGGAAUUCUUGGUGUAGGGGUAAAAUGCGUAGAGAUCAAGAGGAAUACUCAUUGCGAAGGCGACCUGCUAGACCAUCACUGACGCUGAUGCGCGAAAGCGUGGGGAGCAAACAGGAUUAGAUACCCGGGUAGUC
rnacentral:rRNA from 1 species